rnacentral:lncRNA from 1 species
GUUCCAACCAGCACCAAUAUCAACAGCAUAAUAACAGUUCUGUCAGUACAGUUUAAAACUGUGCUAGGUCCUCACAGCUAUGCUUCUCCACAUUUAUUUUUGUUGUUGUUGUUGUUGUUUGUUUUGUUUUGUUUUGUUUUUGUUUAUAGCAACAGCAUUAUUUCUUUCAAUUCACCAAAGACAACAGUGGAUUUUGUUCCUGCACAGCACAGUCCCAGGUGGGCAGCCAUGUAAGUCUGGGACUCCAAACAGCUUCUGAAACUUCAAGCAUAUAUGAGAGUCAGAAAUAAAUACUUUGAUCAUUGAUCUUAGCGUUUUUCCAACAAGAAUUAAAACUUCUAAAGAAAUACAUAUGUCAAAGACUUGAAUGCAGGUUAGCCUCUGAAACUGUAUCUUCGUCUAGGAACAGAAAUCUCUAAGAGGGUACCCAUUCUUAUUUACUAUUCAUAGAUAGCUGUAUUUAUAGCUAUUUGUUAUUAUGCAGUUUCAGUUCUCACUGUUAAGCUGAUUGUCCAGAAUCUUCCCUGACUUCUUUUCACAAUCAAGAAAUUCAAACAUUGAGCAUACUCACAGGAUACCUUCGAAGUUUAAGCAUCUCAAAUCCUACUUUUUCAAUUUCAGGCUUCUCUUGUGUUAAAAACAAACAAACUUUUAUGUAGUUUUCAUGCAUUGUCUAUCAGAAACCUUAAAGAGAGAGCUUUAUUUACUUCAAAGUUACACCUCCAUCCACAUUAUCUGUGCUUCAGUCAUUGCUUUCCAUAGCAUAGUAACCACUGAGAGGAACUGAACAAACACAACAGGCAGCACUUAACCAAGUAUCCUUACUUUUCAGUCUUCAGAAUUCCUUGUAUUUUGACAAAAAAAAAAAAAAAAAAAAAGAGAGAGAGAGAGAGAGAGAGAGAGAGAGAUCUGAAAUAAUUCCAGCCCAUUUUCCCAGGUCAGGUAGCUCACUGUCUGGCCACAAAUUGCUCCAAAUCCCAAACACACUGAAUCUUAAUGUUAGCUGCUUUUGCAUGUGUAUUGUUUUUUUUUUUUUUUUUUCUUUAAUUAGUUUUAUACUUGAUCAUAGGUCUUGUCACAAUUUCAAAGAGUAUUUUACUAUGUACUUCGUCAAAUGUAGACUGGAUAGUAGUUUUUGCCUAAAUAAAGUUGCUAACUUCACUGUAUUCACUGUAAUUACUCCCCAGAAAGCUACUUAAUAUUUUUCUCUUUCCGCUGUUGCUGCUGGAUCACAUUAUCUUAUUUUUAUACACUCCUAUGGGAAUCACACUGAUGGAGUCCAGUGCCUCUUGCAACAACAAGAAGUAAAUAUCAUCAGCUCAUCCACCCUACACAACUAGUCUCUGCCCUUCUCUCCCAAGCUGGAAGAAUAGUCUUCUGUCAUCUGAGUAAUAGUAUCUCUACUUCACUGAAAUACUCAGACAAAACAAGAUUUGUAAUAUUUCACCAAGGGAGAAUAUAUUAAGCUACCUAUUAGGAAAAACAAUCUUCAACUUUUUAAAAAUUUAGAUCGAAACAAUAUUAACCUCUCAAAUGGCUAGAAAAACUUACGUAAAAACAGCACAUGCACUACUGGAUCAUACUCUAUUUUGUGCAAGCUCAUCCCUCUACCACUUCAUGAAUGCUGUCAUUCCACAAACUUUCAACAAUAUUAUUAUGCUACAGUAGAAAAAAACAUCAACAGAAAAUAAUGUACACAAACAUGAAUUAGGUAUGUGGAGUAUGUAAACU